AGGUGCAAGCCCAGAGGCAGUCUAUACCCCAACUCAACUGGCUGGUCCUCAAUGCUGCCUGCUUCCGUGCCCAACUUAGAACUACACAUCUGCUGCCUCUUGGUAACAUGUCAUUAUAAGCCCGAAGUGGACAAAAGCAAGUGAAGGCAUUCAAACAAAUCAUUCAAAGUUGGAAACAGGGUUUGAUGGGACAUCUAUAGCAUGUAGAAAUAUUUAUGAAAAAUGGGGAAAGGCCUGCAGGGAGCACAGUGGGGCGAUUCCUUAUAAAAUCACUUGGAAGUGCUGGGGGCUUCUUCAUCAGCCCUAACCCUGCCAACCACUCCUGCCUCACUGAAUGUGCCAACGGAUUGCUCAGCUCCAACCAAGGAAAAGAAGAAGGAAGUUGGAUACUUUAUACCCUCUACAUUGUCCAUUAGCAACACAACCUAGAGCUAGGAUGGAGAAAGAAAAUGCCAAAAUGCUAAUGAAAAAUGUUCAGAUGUAUCACAUAUUAAGCAUACAUGAUCUCAAAUAUUUUGCCUGAUUUAUGCUAUGCAUGCUAUUUUCCAUGUUGUGUAGGCUCUGAUGCUAGUCUACAUUUACAGAAAUCUCCAUCAGCUGUACAAAUGGCAAUUUAAAUACAUUUAACUAUGUGCUAAUAAUCUCAUAAUACAAUUUAUCAUGUAUGAUUGGCAGAAGAAAUUAUUUGGGGCAAAAGCUAUGAUUGUAUUGUUGUAAGUUAUUAUGAAUGCUGGGCAGUGUAGGGCAUGGCACUUGCUACCACCUCCCAGAAAUGUGUAAGGGCUGUUGAAGGUGCCUUGUUCUUCUUUCUUCUUCAAUAUAAGCAAAGCUAUUUAUAUCAUAAAGCUGAAACUUGAAAUUCCACCCUUGCC
rnacentral:lncRNA from 1 species